UACGGGGGGGGCAAGCGUUGUUCGGAAUUACUGGGCGUAAAGGGCUCGUAGGUGGCCAACUAAGUCAGAGGUGAAAUCCCGGAGCUCAACUUCGGAACUGCCUUUGAUACUGGCAAUCUAGAGUCCGGAAGAGGUUAGUGGAAUUCCCAGUGUAGAGGUGAAAUUCGUAGAUAUUGGGAAGAACACCAGUGGCGAAGGCGGCUAACUGGUCCGGUACUGACGCUGAGGUGCGAAAGCGUGGGGAGCAAACAGG
rnacentral:rRNA from 1 species